rnacentral:misc_RNA from 1 species
GAUGAAGAACGUAGUGAAAUGCGAUAAGUAAUGUGAAUUGCAGAAUUCAGUGAAUCAUCGAAUCUUUGAACGCACAUUGCGCCCGCCAGUAUUCUGGCGGCAUGCCUGUUCGAGCGUCAUUACAACCCUCAGGCCCCCGGGCCUGGCGUUGGGGAUCGGCGGAGCCCCCCGUGGGCACACGCCGUCCCCCAAAUACAGUGGCGGUCCCGCCGCAGCUUCCAUCGCGUAGUAGCUAACACCUCGCGACUGGAGAGCGGCGCGGCCACGCCGUAAAACACCCAACUCUUCUGAAGUUGACCUCGAAUCAGGUAGGAAUACCCGCUGAACUUAAGCAUAUCAAUAAGCGGAGGA